GGGUUGUGAGGUUAAGCGACUAAGCGUACACGGUGGAUGCCCUGGCAGUCAGAGGCGAUGAAGGACGUGCUAAUCUGCGAUAAGCGUCGGUAAGGUGAUAUGAACCGUUAUAACCGGCGAUUUCCGAAUGGGGAAACCCAGUGUGUUUCGACACACUAUCAUUAACUGAAUCCAUAGGUUAAUGAGGCGAACCGGGGGAACUGAAACAUCUAAGUACCCCGAGGAAAAGAAAUCAACCGAGAUUCCCCCAGUAGCGGCGAGCGAACGGGGAGCAGCCCAGAGCCUGAAUCAGUGUGUGUGUUAGUGGAAGCGUCUGGAAAGGCGCGCGAUACAGGGUGACAGCCCCGUA
rnacentral:rRNA from 1 species